CACUUUAAACGGCAUUUGUUAUCGAAUAAAAUUCACAACAACCUCUUAUAACCUCAAAAUGAACUUCGUAGCUUUACGAGAAAUCACCAAAUGAAAUAUUUCCCAGUAGUUUACCUUAUAUAAAGAAAAAAAGGGACAAGAAUUACGGCUAACAAUAGAUGAGCUGCAGCUGCGUUUUACCUAUUGCGCCCCCAGCCUAUACCUAACCUCGAGCGUCCACCUUUUCAAGGCUCUAUCUCCGAAACUAUUAGUCGGAUCAACUCGAAAAUUUCGUUUUUUUGAAACUGUGAAACCCAUGUAACCCCUUAAAUGUUUAUACAAAAGUUGAAAUUCACUAAAUUCAUUCCGUUUUGUAUUUAAGGGAGGCUUGCUAAACUUUUUUUUCUUUAAAAAUAUAUUUACUGCAGAGCUGAAAGUCAAAUAUUCAUUAUCUGAGAAAUGUCAAUGUCUUCUCUUUUCAUAUGUAUGAGCACAAAUAUAAAAGCACAUAUAUACAUACAUACAUAUGUAUGUAGCAGGUAUAAUAGCAAACUACGCGAUGAAUUUCGCAUCCAAUCUCGAUCAGCGCUGCUCAAAAUGAGUUUUGUGCUUGAAUCUGCUUUCAGCGUUCAUUCUGCAAGCACUCUUACUUUGAAGAGGACAAUAUACUUACAUACAGGGGUGUUGUGGAAUCUGAUAGUUGUCGGAAUCAGAAUUGAAACCGAUCAAAAAAAGCAGUAGGUGUCAUGAAUUCAGAUAUUAUUGGUUUGAUAUUCGAAACAGAAUUUGUAUCGGUUUUGGGUGUCACGGAAACCAAUUUUAUCGGUUUUGCUGUCAGAAGAUCAAGAAGAUAGUCGCACACAGAUUUGAAAUGGGAAAACAUAAGCAUAAAACACAAAAUGUCUCAAUUAUUGAAUUUUUGAAAAAAAAUGCUGAUAUUAAAGUGGGGAGCCUGCAUUAGAGGCUUGAAAUCGAUUUUUUGGGGCAUUUGUCGGACGACGGGCAGUAUGCAGAACACAAUUUCUAUUGGAAAAAAAUUCAAAAAGAUUACUUUUUGUUAAUAACUUAUGUUCUAUGUAGUUAAACAAAGAAAAUUUCCAAAAAUAAAUGUAAAAUUCUAAAAAAAUUUAAAAUUUGAAAAAAAUGGUUUUUGACCAAACAAAUUUAA